rnacentral:rRNA from 1 species
AUUGAACGCUGGCGGCAGGCCUAACACAUGCAAGUCGAACGAGUGGCGGACGGGUGAGUAAUGUCUGGGAAACUGCCCGAUGGAGGGGGAUAAAUACUGGAAACGGUAGCUAAUACCGCAUACCAUCGGAUGUGCCCAGAUGGGAUUAGCUAGGAGGUGGGGUAACGGCUAACCUAGGAGACGAUCCCUGGCUGGGCGGAGAGGAUGACCAGCCACUCUGGAAUUGAGACACGUUCCAGACUCCUACGGUAGGCAGCAGUGGGGAAUAUUGCACAAUGGGCGCAGGCCUGAUGCAGCCAGGCCGCGUGUAUGAAUAAGGCCUUCGGGUUGUAAAGUACUUUCAGCGAGGAGGCGUUACUCGCAGAAGAAGCACCGGCUAACUCCGUGCCAGCAGCCGCGGUAAUAC